rnacentral:rRNA from 1 species
UACGUAGGGGGCGAGCGUUGUCCGGAUUUAUUGGGCGUAAAGAGCUCGUAGGCGGUUCGAUAAGUCGGACGUGAAAUCUCCACGCUCAACGUGGAGGGGCCGUUCGAUACUGUCGUGACUCGAGUCCGGUAGGGGAGUGUGGAAUUCCCGGUGUAGCGGUGAAAUGCGCAGAGAUCGGGAGGAACACCCGUAGCGAAGGCGGCACUCUGGGCCGUCAUUGACGCUGAGGAGCGAAAGCCAGGGGAGCAAACGGG